GACGAACGCUGGCGGCGUGCUUAACACAUGCAAGUCGAACGGAAAGGCCCUGCUUUUGUGGGGUGCUCGAGUGGCGAACGGGUGAGUAACACGUGAGUAACCUGCCCUUGACUUUGGGAUAACUUCAGGAAACUGGGGCUAAUACCGGAUAGGAGCUCCUGCUGCAUGGUGGGGGUUGGAAAGUUUCGGCGGUUGGGGAUGGACUCGCGGCUUAUCAGCUUGUUGGUGGGGUAGUGGCUUACCAAGGCUUUGACGGGUAGCCGGCCUGAGAGGGUGACCGGCCACAUUGGGACUGAGAUACGGACCAGAAUGCUACGGGAGGCAGCAGUGGGGAAUAUUGCACAAUGGGCGGAAGCCUGAUGCAGAAACGCCGCGUGCGGGAUGACGGCCUUCGGGUUGUAAACCGCUUUCGCCUGUGACGAAGCGUGAGUGACGGUAAUGGGUAAAGAAGCACCGGCUAACUACGUG
rnacentral:rRNA from 1 species